AGCGAACGCUGGCGGCAGGCCUAACACAUGCAAGUCGAACGGAUCCUUCGGGAUUAGUGGCGGACGGGUGAGUAACACGUGGGAACGUGCCCUUUGGUUCGGAACAACUCAGGGAAACUUGAGCUAAUACCGGAUGUGCCCUUCGGGGGAAAGAUUUAUCGCCAUUGGAGCGGCCCGCGUCUGAUUAGCUAGUUGGUGGGGUAAAGGCUCAGCAAGGCGACGAUCAGUAGCUGGGCUGAGAGGAUGAGCAGCCACAUUGGGACUGAGACACGGCCCAAACUCCUACGGGAGGCAGCAGUGGGGAAUCUUGCGCAAUGGGCGAAAGCCUGACGCAGCCAUGCCGCGUGAAUGAUGAAGGUCUUAGGAUUGUAAAAUUCUUUCACCGGGGAGGAUAAUGACGGUACCCGGAGAAGAAGCCCCGGCUAACUUCGUGCCAGCCGCCGCGGUAACAC
rnacentral:rRNA from 1 species